UCUGUCAGUGAUGUUUUUCCUUCAUACCUACAUUGUUUGACGAGAGGAGUGAGAAAAAUAAUCCCAACGCUGAGGCAGA